rnacentral:rRNA from 1 species
GAUGAACGCUGGCGGCGUGCCUAAUACAUGCAAGUCGAGCGAACAGACGAGGAGCUUGCUCCUCUGACGUUAGCGGCGGACGGGUGAGUAACACGUGGAUAACCUACCUAUAAGACUGGGAUAACUUCGGGAAACCGGAGCUAAUACCGGAUAAUAUAUUGAACCGCAUGGUUCAAUAGUGAAAGACGGUUUUGCUGUCACUUAUAGAUGGAUCCGCGCCGCAUUAGCUAGUUGGUAAGGUAACGGCUUACCAAGGCAACGAUGCGUAGCCGACCUGAGAGGGUGAUCGGCCACACUGGAACUGAGACACGGUCCAGACUCCUACGGGAGGCAGCAGUAGGGAAUCUUCCGCAAUGGGCGAAAGCCUGACGGAGCAACGCCGCGGGAGUGAUGAAGGUCUUCGGAUCGUAAAACUCUGUUAUUAGGGAAGAACAAAUGUGUAAGUAACUAUGCACGUCUGGACGGUACCUAAUCAGAAAGCCACGGCGAACUACGU